rnacentral:RNase_P_RNA from 1 species
AUGCUGAGAUGCUAGUAGUGAUUGCACCAGGAAAUAAACAAUAAACCUGGGCGCGAAGCAAUUCGUGACGACCAUACAAUUUGACCUACAGCAGUUUUGCCAUGGUUUAAUUUUAACCAAAGUGCCACAGAGACGAGUCGUAUAGAAAUAUACGGGUGAAACGCGGUAAACUCUGCAAGUG